UCUACGGGAGGCAGCAGUGGGGGAUAUUGCACAAUGGGGGGAACCCUGAUGCAGCGACGCCGCGUGGGUGAAGAAGCGCCUCGGCGCGUAAAGCCCUGUUAGCAGGGAAGAAAAUGACGGUACCUGAAGAAGAAGCCCCGGCGAACUACGUGCCAGCAGCCGCGGUAAUACGUAGGGGGCAAGCGUUAGCCGGAUUUACUGGGUGUAAAGGGGGCGCAUACGGCGCUGCAAGCCAGGAGUGAAAGCCCGGGGCCCAACCCCGGGACUGCUCAUGGAACUGCGUGGCUGGAGUGCAGGAGGGGCAGGCGGAAUUCCUGGUGUAGAGGGGAAAUGCGGAGAUAUCAGGAGGAACACCGGUGGCGAGGGCGGCCUGCUGGACUGCAACUGACGUUGAGGCCCGAAAGCGUGGGGAGCGAACAGGAUUAGAUACCCCGGUAGUG
rnacentral:rRNA from 1 species